ACCCUUAGUAGAGCGGCGCACGGGUGCGUAACACGUGGAUAAUCUGCCUGGAUGCCUGGGAUAACCAGUCGAAAGAUUGGCUAAUACCGGAUAAGCCCACGGUCUCUUCGGAGACUGAGGGAAAAGGUGGCCUCUGUAUACAAGCUAUCACAACCAGAUGAGUCCGCGGCCCAUCAGCUAGUUGGCGGGGUAAUGGCCCACCAAGGCGACGACGGGUAGCUGGUCUGAGAGGACGAUCAGCCACACUGGAACUGAGACACGGUCCAGACUCCUACGGGAGGCAGCAGUGGGGAAUUUUGCGCAAUGGGCGAAAGCCUGACGCAGCAACGCCGCGUGUGUGAUGAAGGUCUUUGGAUUGUAAAGCACUUUCGACCGGGACGAAACCGUAAAGCCUAAUACGCUUUGCCUUGACGGUACCGGGAGAAGAAGCACCGGCUAACUCUGUGCCAGCAGCCGCGGUAAUACAGAGGGUGCAAGCGUUGUUCGGAAUUAUUGGGCGUAAAGCGCGUGUAGGCGGCUUUGCAAGUCGGGUGUGAAAGCCCUCAGCUCAACUGAGGAAGUGCGCCCGAAACUGCAGAGCUUGAGUGCCGGAGAGGGUGGCGGAAUUCCCCAAGUAGAGGUGAAAUUCGUAGAUAUGGGGAGGAACACCGGUGGCGAAGGCGGCCACCUGGACGGUAACUGACGCUGAGACGCGAAAGCGUGGGUAGCAAACAGGAUUAGAUACCCUGGUAGUCCACGCCGUAAACGAUGAGAACUAGGUGUCGUGGGAGUUGACCCCCGCGGUGCCGUAGCUAACGCAU
rnacentral:rRNA from 1 species